rnacentral:rRNA from 1 species
CUCCACGAAGUUGGAUUCGCUAGUAAUCGCGCAUCAGCCAUGGCGCGGUGAAUACGUUCCCGGGCCUUGUACACACCGCCCGUCAAGCCAUGGGAGCCGGGGGCGCCCGAAGUCCGGGACCGCGAGGACCGGCCUAGGGCGAAACUGGUAACUGGGGCUAAGUCGUAACAAGGUACC